rnacentral:rRNA from 1 species
AUUGAACGCUGGCGGCAUGCUUUACACAUGCAAGUCGAACGGCAGCGCGGGCUUCGGCCUGGCGGCGAGUGGCGAACGGGUGAGUAAUACAUCGGAACGUGCCCGGUAGUGGGGGAUAGCUCGGCGAAAGCCGGAUUAAUACCGCAUACGACCUGAGGGUGAAAGCGGGGGAUCUUCGGACCUCGCGCUAUUGGAGCGGCCGAUGGCAGAUUAGCUAGUUGGUGGGGUAAAGGCCUACCAAGGCGACGAUCUGUAGCUGGUCUGAGAGGACGACCAGCCACACUGGGACUGAGACACGGCCCAGACUCCUACGGGAGGCAGCAGUGGGGAAUUUUGGACAAAGGGCGAAAGCCUGAUCCAGCAAUGCCGCGUGUGUGAUGAAGGCCUUCGGGUUGUAAAGCACUUUUGGCGGGAACGAAAAGGACUGUGCCAAUACCACGGUUCGAUGACGGUACCCGCAGAAUAAGCACCGGCUAACUACGUG